rnacentral:rRNA from 1 species
CCCUUAGAUGUUCUGGGCCGCACGCGCGCUACACUGAUGCAUUCAACGAGCCUAUCCUUGACCGACAGGUCCGGGUAAUCUUUGAAUCUGCAUCGUGACGGGGAUAGAUUAUUGCAAUUAUUAAUCUUCAACGAGGAAUUCCUAGUAGACGUAGUUCAUUAGACUGCAUCGAUUACGUCCCUGCCCUUUGUACACACCGCCCGUCGCUCCUACCGAUUGAAUGCUCAGGUGAGCCAUUCGGACUUUCAUCAUGCUGGUUUCCAGUUUUGAUGAAGGAAAGUCUUGCGAACCUUAUCAUUUAGAGGAAGGAGAAGUCGUAACA